rnacentral:tRNA from 1 species
GGGCCUUUAGCUCAGAUGGCAGAGCAGCGAGCUUUUACCUCGAUGGUCCCGGGAUCGAGACCCGGAGGGCCCA